GACAGAGGGUGCAAACGUUGUUCGGAAUUACUGGGCGUAAAGCGCGUGUAGGCGGCCCUGUAAGUCGGAUGUGAAAUCCCACGGCUCAACCGUGGAAGUGCAUUCGAAACUACAGGGCUAGAGUCCUGGAGAGGAAGGUGGAAUGCUUGGUGUAGAGGUGAAAUUCGUAGAUAUCAAGAGGAACACCGGUGGCGAAGGCGGCCUUCUGGACAGUGACUGACGCUGAGACGCGAAAGCGUGGGGAGCAAACAGG
rnacentral:rRNA from 1 species